AAAGCCUUCAGGGGGAGCCAACAGGCUGAGAGUGGACACAGACGUUCAGACCCUUUGAACCUGUUAGUUAACACUAGCGCAGGGAUGGCGGCUUUUUUGAUG
rnacentral:ncRNA from 1 species